rnacentral:ncRNA from 1 species
UUGACCGAAGAGGGGGUGCCACUCCGUUGAGUGAGCUGAGAUUAUACCCGUAUAACCUGAUGCAGAUAAUGCUGCCGUAGGAAGUGCGAAUAUACAUAAU